AGCUGCGGCAGCGACACUGUGUGUUGUUGGGUAGGGGAGCGUUCUGUAAGCCUGUGAAGGUGUGUCGUGAGGCAUGCUGGAGGUAUCAGAAGUGCGAAUGCUGACAUAAGUAACGAUAAAGCGGGUGAAAAGCCCGCUCGCCGGAAGACCAAGGGUUCCUGUCCAACGUUAAUCGGGGCAGGGUGAGUCGACCCCUAAGGCGAGGCCGAAAGGCGUAGUCGAUGGGAAACGGGUUAAUAUUCCCGUACUUGGUGUUACUGCGAAGGGGGGACGGAGAAGGCUAUGUUGGCCGGGCGACGGUUGUCCCGGUUUAAGCGUGUAGGUGUGUGUUCCAGGUAAAUCCGGUUCACUUUAACACUGAGGCGUGACGACGAGGCACUACGGUGCUGAAGCAACAAAUGCCCUGCUUCCAGGAAAAGCCUCUAAGCAUCAGGUAACAUCAAAUCGUACCCCAAACCGACACAGGUGGUCAGGUAGAGAAUACCAAGGCGCUUGAGAGAACUCGGGUGAAGGAACUAGGCAAAAUGGUGCCGUAACUUCGGGAGAAGGCACGCUGACACGUAGGUGAAGUGAUUUACUCAUGGAGCUGAAGUCAGUCGAAGAUACCAGCUGGCUGCAACUGUUUAUUAAAAACACAGCACUGUGCAAACACGAAAGUGGACGUAUACGGUGUGACGCCUGCCCGGUGCCGGAAGGUUAAUUGAUGGGGUCAGCGCAAGCGAAGCUCCUGAUCGAAGCCCCGGUAAACGGCGGCCGUAACUAUAACGGUCCUAAGGUAGCGAAAUUCCUUGUCGGGUAAGUUCCGACCUGCACGAAUGGCGUAAUGAUGGCCAGGCUGUCUCCACCCGAGACUCAGUGAAAUUGAACUCGCUGUGAAGAUGCAGUGUACCCGCGGCAAGACGGAAAGACCCCGUGAACCUUUACUAUAGCUUGACACUGAACAUUGAGCCUUGAUGUGUAGGAUAGGUGGGAGGCUUUGAAGUGUGGACGCCAGUCUGCAUGGAGCCGACCUUGAAAUACCACCCUUUAAUGUUUGAUGUUCUAACGUGGACCCGUUACCCGGGUUGCGGACAGUGUCUGGUGGGUAGUUUGACUGGGGCGGUCUCCUCCUAAAGAGUAACGGAGGAGCACGAA
rnacentral:rRNA from 1 species